rnacentral:lncRNA from 1 species
CCAGUUAUUGUGCGACCUUAUUUCUCCCGUAAAUUCAUUUUAAUUCUUUUUCUUACAUUUCUGUGUCUAAAGUAUAACUGACUCCCGUAUAUCAUUCAUACUAAAUGUUGCUUACACCUGAAAUGGUAAACCGUGACGCCUAGGUGUCACUGAAUGAAGAUCAAAAGAUUAGAAUUACAUAAUGCUAAUCUUUUAAUAACCUUGAGUUUAACUACGCAUUCAACAUUCACUAAGUGUCACAAAUUAAUACACAUUUAAUUUCCACAGUACAAGCAAGUGAAAAUGUUUACUGGAAUGAAGCAAAAAGUUCAGAAUACAAACAUGUAUUUUUUAAUACACUAUCGAUCCUGUCA